rnacentral:rRNA from 1 species
UAAAACUAUUAAACGAUACAAUUUCUAAAACACUUAACAACAUACAACUGGCAUAAUAGCUUUUCUAUCGGUAGAGGAGCGUUGUAUAUGAAUUGAAGCAAAAAGCGUAAGCAAUUGUGGAUUAUAUACAAGUGAGAAUGCUGGCAUGAGUAGCGAAAAGGGAUGUGAGAAUCAUCCCCGUCGAAAGCCCAAGGAUUCCUGAGCAAGGCUCGUCCUCUCAGGGUAAGUCGGGACCUAAGGCGAGGCCGAAAGGCGUAGUCGAUGGACAACAGGUAGAAAUUCCUGUACUACAAGAUUGUGAUUGAGAGAAGUACUGACGCAGAAGGAAAAGUCGAGCGUGUGAAUGGUAGAACACGUCCAAGUAACAAGCCAGAAUAUACAGGCAAAUCCGUAUAUUCGCUAACGUAAGUUAUCAUGGGGAGCAGAAAGAUGCGAAGCGACAGAUUCAAACUGCCAAGAAAAGGUGCUAUCGAAUAAUCUUGUACCCGUACCGCAAACCGACACAGGUAGGCAAGAAGAGAAUUCUAAGACGCGCGGAAGAACCUUUGUUAAGGAACUCGGCAAAAUAAUCCCGUAAGUUAGCGAGAAGGGAUGCCUAAGAAAUUAGGUCGCAGAGAAUAGGCCCAAGCGACUGUUUACCAAAAACACAAGUAUCUGCUAAAUCGAAAGAUGAAGUAUAGGUGCUGACACCUGCCCGGUGCUGGAAGGUCAAGGGGACUUGUUAGAGCAAUCGAAGCAACGAACUUAAGCCCCAGUAAACGGCGGCCGUAACUAUAACGGUCCUAAGGUAGCGAAAUUCCUUGUCGGGUAAGUUCCGACCCGCACGAAAGGUGUAACGACCACGGUAGGACGGAAAGACCCCGUGGAGCUUUACUGCAGGUUGACAUUGAAUUUUGGGAUUAAAUGUACAGGAUAGGUGGGAGACGAAGAAGCAAGCUCGCCAGAGUUUGCAGAGUCACUGUUGGGAUACCACCCUUUUAAUUCUAAAGUUCUAACUAGUUGCCAUGAAACUGGUAAUAGGACACUGUCAGUCGGGCAGUUUGACUGGGGCGGUCGCCUCCAAAAAAGUAACGGAGGCGUUCAAAGGUUCGCUCAGAAUGGUUGGAAAUCAUUCAAAGAGUACAAAGGCAAAAGCGAGCUUAACUGCGAGACAUACAGGUCGAGCAGAGACGAAAGUCGGACUUAGUGAUCCGGUGGUACCGAGUGGAAGGGCCAUCGCUCAACGGAUAAAAGCUACCCCGGGGAUAACAGGCUUAUCUCCCCCAAGAGUCCACAUC